CAGUCGCCGCGGUAAUACGUAGGUGGCAAGCGUUGUCCGGAAUUAUUGGGCGUAAAGGGCUCGCAGGCGGUUUCUUAAGUCUGAUGUGAAAGCCCCCGGCCCAACCGGGGAGGGUCAUUGGAAACUGGGAAACUUGAGUGCAGAAGAGGAGAGUGGAAUUCCACGUGUAGCGGUGAAAUGCGUAGAGAUGUGGAGGAACACCAGUGGCGAAGGCGACUCUCUGGUCUGUAACUGACGCUGAGGAGCGAAAGCGUGGGGAGCGAACAGGAUUAGAUACCCCGGUAGUCCCUGUCUCUUAUAC
rnacentral:rRNA from 1 species